UACGGGGGGGGCAAGCGUUGUUCGGAAUUACUGGGCGUAAAGGGUUCGUAGGUGGCCAACUAAGUCAGACGUGAAAUCCCUCAGCUUAACUGGGGAACUGCGUCUGAGACUGGAUGGCUUGAGUGCAGGAGAGGAACGCGGAAUUCCAGGUGUAGCGGUGAAAUGCGUAGAUAUCAGGAGGAACACCGGUGGCGAAGGCGGGUCUCUGGGCCGAAAUUGACGCUGAGGAGCGAAAGCGUGGGGAGCAAACAGG
rnacentral:rRNA from 1 species